rnacentral:RNase_P_RNA from 1 species
ACCGCAGACCGCCUUAUCGCCGUUUCAUCAGAAAGGGAGGAAAGUCCGGACACCAUAGGGAAGCAUAGCGGAUAACAUCCGCCGGUCAGCAAUGAUCAGGACAAGUGCAACAGAAAGUAUGUACAGGUUAAGCUGUAGUGAAACCAGGUAAACUCUAUGCGGUGAAAUAUCAAGUAUAUCGGCAUUUAAGGGCUUCCCGCUCGUUGCCGAAGGGUAGAUAGAUGGAGCCGGUGAGCAAUUACCGGCCUAGAUAAAUGAUAAGGAUUUCAAUUUAUUGAGAUACAGAAUCCGGCUUACAGGUCUGCUUUUUUU